AAAUACAAAAAUUAGCCGGGUGUGGUAGUGUAUGCCUCUAAUCCCAGCUACUCGGGAGGCUGACGCAGGAGAAUCACCUGAAACUGGGAGGUAGAGGCUGCAGUGAGCUGAGAUCGUGCCACUGCACUCCAGCCUGGACAACAGAACAACACUGUGUCAAAAUAAAUAAGUAAAUAAAAGGGGAUUUAAUUUUAAAAAUUAAAUAAUAUAUAAAAAUAAAAAGUGAUCUGAGAAAGACAUAUUGUAACAUAUUGGGCUCAUAUCCGGCCCAGCAGCACAGUUCUAGAAAUUUAAGACAAAUUCUGAGGUUGGUAUAGAAAUACUUACCAGUCAAAAGCACAGCCUAAGGCCUUCACACACCAUAAAAUCAGUGAAACUAAUUGCGGUUCUUCAGCAUCUGCGGAGCACUGGCUACCAGUAAGGAGAAAGUUGGGGAUGCAGAUAAUCAGUGCACCCUGAGGUGACAGUUAAUUCCACUAGCAUACCAUUUCACAGGAGAUGUUAUGGCAUUCUACUUCAUCCCCCUACUCUGAGAAUGCUGAAACUGGCUGGAAAUUUCAACAGUUAGCCAAAUGUCAAAUGUCCUUUGAAGAACUUUAAUAAAAUCUGGAUCCUCCAAAAUCCCCUGCGUAGAAAGAUCUUGGAACUCCUCUGAGCCAACAUACACAGACCCAAUCACAUGUUAUCCACACAUUUUCCAAGUAGACAAAUAUUCUCUGAAACAUUUUCUGAUAACUUCUUUCACAAAGACAAAAAAUAUGUUAAGGUGCAUUCCACCUAGGUCAGAAUAAUACACUUUCUGAUCUGAAGCACAGAACAGCAAGUGGGAUUUCAAAAAAGAGCGUACCCUGACCAACUUUUAUGCUCUGUUGAAGGCAGAGGCUGGAAGCUUAAAGACAGGCUUUUAAAAGCCAGCUAAGGUACAGUCUGCAUUUCUCAGAAAAGUUGCCUAUGGCUAAAACAGAGCACAAAAUGAGAGAUAAAAAAGCAAAACCACAAACCCCUGUACCGUCUGACCCGGGAGUCCUCACUUAACAGAUGAGAAAAUUACCAGGGAAAGUAACUUGCCCUGGGCUGCAGUUUAUUUGGCGUCAAAGCUGUAAGCAGAUUCCUGGUCUCCCAGGUCGGAAUUCAGUGUAGCUUCCCCAUCCACCUAACUGCCACCCCACGGAAGAUGCUGUAUAAAACUCUUCACUCUUCACUGAGGCUGUUAACAUAAGGGUCCAAUUAUCAUUCAAAGAUCAGCCUGUUAGAUAAUAGCUCGAAAAUUCCAUCCAUUUUACAGCAGUUACCAGAGACAUCUAAUCUUCGAGGAAAAAAAAGCAAAAAGGAAAAGGGGGAAAUCCUAAUUUUGACCUGACCCCUAAGGUCAAACUAAAGGAUUGAAUACAGACCAGCAGACCGUAUUGGUAUCCGCAACCACAAAAACAGACAAUAAUCCCACCCACAAGCAGAGGAAGACGGCCGCUCCUCGGCACCGCCCCCCAACUCACUAAAUUCCACUCCCAUUCCGGCGUCCAGAGGACAGUGCACCUCCCGCCGUAGCCUGAGAGGGAUCGGCCCGAUUGGCCACGCUCCUUCAAACCACCACUUUCCCCCGAAAAAGGGACGAAAGCCUCAGGUCCCCAAACGAGCGCUCCCUCGCCCAGAGACCCCGGCUUGCACACCCCGCCCUGUUCCCCGCGGCGCGGGAGGAGAGGCCGCCCCACACAGGAAGUGUGUCCUGCGCCGGGACCUUGCGCCCAACCCGCCGGUACCUGCCCUCCGCCCCCAACAGGCGAGAAGCAGCCGCGUCCACAUGGCUUCAGGUGUUCACAUGGCAGUAAACGGGCCCCUGCUCUCCUGGGCGCCCCAGCGCGGCGCCCUCCCGCCCACAUCCCGGCCCAGCCCCGCUGGCCUCGCCUCCAGCCCGUAGCCAAGAGGCGAGCGCGGCCGGUGCCCCCGGGGCUGCCAGGGGCCCCGAAGCAGGCGGCGCUGACUCCCGGACGCCGCCCGCUCACACCCGCCGCCUUUGCACCCAAGGCCUCGCGCGACCAGCAGAUGGGGCCACUGAGGUGCAAAGAGUUUAACUUAUCCCAAGUCACACAGUUUGGAAGAGGCUGAGCUGGUAUUUGAACCCAGGUUUUCAGAGGCUGCACUCUUAACCACCAAGCUUCCCAGCACUCAGCAAACACUGGAAAGACAGAGAUGGACCUAGACAGUCAGUAGGACCAAAAGUCUGCAGGCCGAUAGGGAAAGAAUGUAAGAGGACGGCAUGGGCAGCGCCAGCCCCUCCAGCAGUCAUAUAUUAAGCCCUGGACACUGGGCAGCUCGGGCAGGUCGGGGGGCCUCAGACUCUCGGACCCCAUGCCUGGAAGACCACGGUCUGCCCAACAAGCAGCAGCUGCUGUGAAUCGACUUACACAUCUUCCCCACAGGUGAGCAGAGAGCUAACACCUGAGGAUAGGCCAAGAAACGGGAAGCCCGUGCAACCUGAGCGCACAGAUCACCCCCACCUGCCCGGCACUCACUGUCCCCAGUGGCUGGACUCUCAUCGGGCCAGUCACUGAGCUGGCGCCAGCCUGGUCUCACCAGUGUGUGUCUUUAAAUCAUCCAAUUUCUUCAGCUGUAAAUUGGGCUGGGAGGGGCCAGGUGAGCUGCCUGCCUCAGGGGAGUCGGCGCCCUUACCUGAGUGAUCCCAUUCACUCCUCACAACAAACCCAUGAGGCAGGGAUUGUCAUCUUCAUUGUACAGAGCAGGAAAUGGGUGCACACAGAGGUUAAGAGACUUGCCCAGGUCACACAGCUAGGAAGAGGCUGUGAUUUGAACUCAGUCUUCUGGCUCCAAAGCCCCCACAGAGUCACUCAGGGCACUACAAAGAGUUAACCUGAAUAUGAAAUGAUCUAAGAGUCGCAGUGACAAAGGCAUGCUCUAAGCGCUUUUCCUGCAGUAACUUGCUUAAUCCUUACAACAACCCUAUAAAGUGGGUACUGUUCUCGCCUCAUUUUGCAGAUGAGGAAACUGAGGCACAGAGCAGCUCGGAGGGGGCAGAGCUGAAUCUGACAGGCUACAGGGCCCCUGCGUUGCUUUGUUAUAAGAUGACAAUAAGGAAGUUCCUUUCCUUUGGGAUUAUUUCUGCCUGAAAGCUCAAGACUUUUAGCCACAUCAUUGUCUGGGCUCCACGGGAAGGCAGUGCCACAUGCUGAGGCAUGCUGGGAAAAGACUUUGUUCCAUCCUGUUUUGUUGACAUGCUCUUCAUUUUUAAGCCUGAAACCGAAGCUUCCUGCUAAGAAUUCAAACCAUGGAGAAAAACGCAGCCAUGAUAACGGCCACUACUUCCUGAGCCUCCAGUGUUCCCUGUGCUUGGGGAUCCAUAUAUGUCACUUAACCUUAACCUUCACAACACCAGGGCAGCCUCCAUUUUCACAAGUGAAGAAAUGGAGGCCCAGAGUCACUUAGAAGAUGCUCGAAGGUGCACAGCUGCUAAGUGGUGGUGCUGGGAUUUGUCCUCAGGUCCUCAAGAGUCCUGACUCUUAUGUGCUGGCUCCCCACGGAGGCGUGGAGUCUUGUUUGCUGGGCAUUUGACAGAAAUGUUUCUGCUCAUCUUCUGCCACAGUGACUCGGGGAUAGCUGCCCUGAUGCCAAGGCGAUUGUCUUCUGGAAGCAGCCACGCCGUGUGAGGUUCCUCAUCACUGCCCUGCAUCUCCCUGCGAGCUCUCGGGGAUAAUUGCAAAAUCACGUUUGAUUCCAGGGGAGCAGAAAGCAGCAGGAGCCGUGAAUUCUCCAACUCUUAACUGGUCCUCGACUGGAGCCACUUUUCCCUGCCCACCCAUCCCUGUGGCGGAUUCAUUACAGUUAUCCAAAGCCGGUUUUAACUUUGCUCCCCCUGGCUCAGAAGUCUGUCAGUGGGUCCUGAGCGGCUUCACCAUUCAAGUUUAUUCCUAUCAGCCUGGAAUACAAUGCUCUAUCUGGCUCCGCUUGCUUCUCCAAACCUUCUCUCCCAGGUCUCAUUCUGCCUCUCUGUCUAACUAGACAAGUUGGCUUCCUGUCCUGUGCCUGUCUGCUCCCUGCAGCAGGAAUGCCGUUCCCUCUUCCCUACAGAUUGAAAUUAUAUCCUCUUUCAAGUCUUACUCAAAUGCCACCUCCUCCACAAACUCUUAACACUUAUUCAUUCAUUCAACAAACAUUGACUGAGCCCUUAUGACAAGCAUUGAUCCCAAGGGUCCCUGUGGUCAUGAAGUUUAUGGUGCCAUGGAGCUGUUAGAAAAAGAAUCAUCACAUAAAUAAUCAUCUGAUAACAGCCAUGAUACAAAUUAGUAAGAAAGUGUGGCAGGAGCACAGCAGAUGUACAAUAGGGACCCUGAGCCUUGGGGAUCUAGGACAUUUGAGCUGAGGCCUGAAAGACAAGUAGGAAGUAACCACAUGGUGAAGUUGGAGGAGAGCUCCAGGCAGAGGGCACGGCAUGGGCAAAGGCCCUGCGGUAGGAGGGAACAAGUAGAUUUCCAGGAAGGGCACAGGGGCCUGCAGGGUAAUGUAAGUGAAAUGAGAAAGCUGGAGAUGCAGCUGGAGCAGGACAGUACAGGCCACAGAGGCUUUGCGACUUUAUCCCUGGGCAAAAAGAGGAGAUGAUGAAGGAUUCUGAGCACAGGACACAAGCCAGUAUGUAUUUAGACGCGAUCCUGCCCUGUGGCUGAGCCUCUUCUGAGAAGUGCAGGCCCUGUGUCACGUCACCCUGAACCUCAGUCAUCAGGGUUUUGGAUGUGAGUUUCCAUAUCCCUCUUCCUAGGCCAAGCUCUCAAAGGCAAGGCUGACCUCUGGUCUUCAGCUUCAUCCUCAUCAGCCAGGCCAGUGCCCAGCACAAGGAGCUGCUCCAAAAACAUACGUGGGUUGAACCAGUGACCAGGACAAGACGCUUAUCAGCAUUUCCCUGCGAAGGAGCAGGGCUGCCUGUAAAGCCUUCCACAUUCUCUAGAAAUUACAAAGUUCAAGGGUUUUAGUGAGGCCACGACUCAGGGAGCCCUUGAGAGCCAAGCUGGCAUCCCACUGCUGUGCACACCCAGCCUGGGCACACAGUAUGACCCUGCCCAGGCAUCUGCCUGCGGCCGUCUGGUGAAUGACCAGAAACAGAACCGAAAGCUCUGUAAAGUGCUCUCAAGGUUACAAAGCAUGUUUCACAGGAGCAGUUUCAUCUCACACGGGCAGCCCUCUGAGCUGGGUAGUUACUGCUUUACAGAUGAGGAAACUGAGGCCCGGGAGAGGGCGGGACCUCAGCAAAUCAAGAAAAAACUGAGACUAGGACCUAACGGAAGUCCAGGCUAUGAAUGGCCCCCGUAGGGUUAAAAGAGCUUUCUAGAAAUUUCUUUGAAAACUAUUGUAAAGUGACAUAUUUCCUCAGGAUGUCUGUCACGCCAGCAGUGGGAGCCAACACACCAACUCUCAGAGGCUGUUCCCCCUGCGCGGCAGAUCCAGACGCUCAGCUCCCAGGCCUGGAGGCUGGCGGCUUAGCCCAGGGCACAGGAGGAGGCUGCCUGGGUUUGGCGCUGACUUACAGCAGGUGCUGAGGGAAUGCUGAGGAGAGGCAAGGCUGAUUCAAGAGGCCGACAACAGAGAACAUUCCUAGAGCUCUCCCGCCAGCUAGGCAUGGUGCUAAGUGCAUUACCUGCGUCCACUCGUAACAUCCUCACAACACUGUGAAUACGAUGACCAUCCCCAUGUACAGGCGUGGACGCUAAGGCUCAGAGCAAUAAAUAAUUAGCCUGAGAUCACACGGCAGCCUCCUCCCCUAGGGCUCUCUAGGCUUCCUUUACCCGUCCUGCCUCAGAUGGACUCCCAGCAUCAUCAUCUGCCUCUGUGCCUUCUUGGUAGUAGGUGGGUGUGAAAAAGAAAGGAAGGGCCAGGUGCAGUGGCUCAUACCUGUAGUCCCAGCACUUUGGGAGGCUGAGGCGGGCGGAUCACCUGAGGUCAGGAGUUCGAAACCAGCCUGGCCAACAUGGUGAAACCCUAUCUCUGGUGGCAGGUGCCUGUAAUCCCAGCUACUUGGAAGGCUGAGGCUGGAGAAUCACUUGAACCUGGGAGGCAGAGGUUGCAGUGAGCAGAGAUUGCGCCACUGCACUCCAGUCUGGGCAACAGAGCGACUCCCUCUCAAUAAAUAAAAUAAAAUAAGGAAGGACAGAGGGCAAUGUGACCUUCGGCAAGCUCCCUAAGCUCCUGAAGCCUCAGCCUUUUCACCCGUAGAACAGGGACAUUAACAUCACCCCCGAGUGAGGGCUGCAGGCACACAGUGACUGCGCUUCUCAGUGCCACAAGUGCUGUUGCCAUCAUUCCAGCCUCAGGUGCUCCGUGAGGUGGGACGAUUCACCCCAUGAGCAAACAGGCUCAGGGAGGUGUGGUGCCUACAGUCACCCAGCAGACACAGCGGAGCAAGGAGGAAGCCACACCUG
rnacentral:lncRNA from 10 species